UACAUAGGGGUCAAGCGUUGUCCGGAUUUAUUGGGCGUAAAGAGUAUGUAGGCGGCUGGAUAAGUCAAGCGUGUAAGCCCACGGCUCAACCGUGGAAUUGCGUUUGAAACUAUUCAGCUUGAGUGCAGGAGAGGAAGGCGGAAUUCCCAGUGUAGCGGUGAAAUGCAUUGAUAUUGGGAAGAACACCGGUGGCGAAGGCGGCCUUCUGGUCUGUUACUGACGCUGAGAUACGAAAGCCAGGGGAGCAAAGGGG
rnacentral:rRNA from 1 species